UCUAUCCGGCUUCUUUAAUCAGUUUCGUUCUCAAGUAUACCAUUAGUAUGGUCGCCCGACUUUCUCCAAAUUGUUGGAUAAUCUCAUCCACAGCCUCUUUCUGAUCCAUGGACUCAAUCAACUCCUUGUUUCGGUUCUCAACAUUUCCUCUUAAGAUCUGAACACAUCCCUGCAUAGCUUGAUCUAGCAUCCAAACAAGGCCGAAAAGAUAGCUUACGAGAAUGCUCCUCCAAGCAUCCUAUCCCGGUCCUCUUUCCUUCUCUCGUCCGCCGUCGGCCUUUGCUCCCUCAUGAUUCUCGCGUCCUCCUCUUCCUUCGCUCCGCCCCGUCGCUCACCGCGCACCUCUCGCACUCUCUCCGCCUCGGCCUACGACCCGCCCCUCGAGACAGACAAUGUAGCUUGGAUGUCUAUCUUCAUUCUUAAAUGAAAAGACCCAAAUGAUGGAACAGAGCAUGCACCGAGUUAAUGAGCCGUCAUUCUUCAAUGUUCAUUUAAAGGAAAAUCAUUAUGUGUAGACUUAAGUUCCACGAUGAAGUAUGGGAUUAUGUCAACCCAUGUGCUAUAUGGAAUAUGGUGUUUCUUAACAAUUUUUGUAUCCAUGUCCAUACGCAUCCAGAACUUGAUGGAUGCGUGUAUUAUUAUCAGUUAUUAACACUUUGAUGAUCAGACAGCAUCAAGAUUCGCCGUAUCGUAUCGAAGCCGGCAGUAAGCCGAAGACAGCAUCAAGGUUCGGUAUGGUAUAUGGUAUGGAGGGUGUACCGACACUCAUUAUACUGAACUGGCCUCGUACCGUACCAUACCGACACAAUGAUAGUAUGGCACCGGUAUGGAGUCCAGUACCGAAAUGGCGUACCUUGGAUUGCAUACAUAAAUCACUAGUUUAUGUUCAAUGGUCUUCUAAUUGCACAUGAUUUUACUAAGGACAUGGAAUGCCUGGAAAUGGAAGCUAUUUUCUUGUUGAAGGAGAAUAACUAGAUCUGCUGAACAGGAUUAGUUAGGCAGUUUAGUCCAGUUGACAAUUUGUCAAAUUUUUUUUGACAAAUUUACUUUUCUUAAUUGGUUUUUUCUUGGUGAUUGUCGCCUGUAUAUGAUAUAAUUAUAGACCAAUUAGGCAUUGUGCAUAUUGGUUAUAGGUUAGACAAUGUUACAUUAAAUGUCCAAAGGAUGGGCAUAGGUUAUUGUUGUAGUGGAGGCACCUAUAUGCUAAAGGUUGUAGCAUGGUCUACCAAACCGGACCGAACCGGCACCGAACCGAUACCCGAAUCGGCAAAAACCGAUCCGAAACCGGUAGAAAUCGGUUCGGAACUGGCAGGAACCGGUCCGGAACCGACUAAAAAGGGGCCGACGGCCGGUCGGAACAGUGCAAACCGGCCUGGAACCGGUGCGAACCGGCCUGAAAUCGGUGCGAACCAUCUAGAACCGGCCGGUUCUAUUCCAACUCGGUGCGAACCAGCGUUGACUCGGUUUCGAAUCGGGUUAACUAUUUUGGGUAGUCUGAUGGCCAAUAAUUGUUGUUGGGAAGGCCCGAGAAGCCUUUCCAACAACAAUUCACAAAGAGGAUGCGUCCUUCCGCCGCUUCUCCUUCCGAAAUACUCUAAAAACAACACCGAUUCAGGCUAUCAGAAGGAAGAUCCGAGGCUAAAUAAGGUGUGCUUUCUUAUCUCUAUCUCAUUUCCUCCUUUUUUGGAGGGCUUGAAAAAAUAGCUCAAAAAUUGCAAAAUAAGAGAUCAUGCCAAAAUUUUUGAUUUGGGCUUUGAUUUUUUUACAUGUUGCAAAUCUAUGGACAAUCUACACGCUGACAUAAAAAUUUUAAAUUUUUGGUGGCUACUAUUCUUGAGGAUACGAUUGCAUAUACAAGACGGGCUCCUCGAGGUCAUUCAGCAGGACAUGAUACAGCUAUAGAAGACCUUGCAUGUAGAGUAGAAUCCAUAGACGUAUCAGAUUCCGAGUUGUAUACUGGAUCUUAUUAUUCGCAGCCACAGACAGCCUAUGAUCUAUACGGAUAUAGAUAUGAUGCGUUUGAGGCAUCUUCUGAUGGCUACUAUCCUACGUAGCUUGAAGCAUCUCAUGGGUCGGAUUUUGCUGCCGACAUAUUUAGAUGGGCUUCUCCACAGCUGUAUUAUCAGCCAGAAGAUAUCUCUCACAGUUAGAGCGUCAGUGAGAGAUCUGAGAGUGCUUAUAACCCAACAUACGUUUCUUAUGGGAUGAACGUACAAGACUACAAUGCUGCUUGGUUAGA